AUUGAACGCUGGCGGCAGGCCUAACACAUGCAAGUCGAGCGAGCGGCGCACGGGUGAGUAAUGUGUGUGAAACUGCCUGUUGGAGGGGGAUAACUACUGGAAACGGUAGCUAAUACCGCAUACGCUCUGAUGUGCCCCGGUGGGAUUAGCUAGUAGGUGGGGGAACGGCUCCCCUAGGGGACGAUCCCUAGCUGGUCUGAGAGGAUGACCAGCCACACUGGAACUGAGACACGGUCCAGACUCCUACGGGAGGCAGCAGUGGGGAAUAUUGCACAAUGGGCGCAAGCCGGAUGCAGCCAUGCCGCGUGUGUGAAGAAGGCCUUCGGGUUGUAAAGCACUUUCAGCGGGGAGGCGUUACCCGCAGAAGAAGCACCGGCUAACUCCGUGCCAGCAGCCGCGGUAAUAC
rnacentral:rRNA from 1 species